AAGCUGUAACAGGGGCGCAGAACCUCCGUCUUAUUUCGAAAACCAAACACAUAGACACAACGGCGCAGCACCGCCUGGGAAACGGGCUCCGAAAUCAGAUGCCAGCGGUGCUCUGAGCUGCUGUGACAGUCCGGAUGGACAUUGAGUGGAUAACCUCAAACCGUGGGAGGCCGACACACUGCCGUGGAAGGACAAGGGCACAGCUGCCAUCUGCAGGCAGCCAGGGGCCUGGGAUGGACUGAGGCAGGCAAAGAGUGUGGUGGAAGUCUGAACUUGUCUGAAUGGGUGGUGGAGUCAGAAGCCUUCAUCCCAUUUAAAACAACUUGAUAUGGCCUUGAGGUCCUGUAACCUUUGGAACUAAUGACCAACAGCUGGAAAGUAGGUCCGAAACUGAGGUCCACAGGAAAGCUGUUGACAGUUUGGAACAAACUGGAGGGUGGGCUCAGAGUGUGGCAGCCACACGUGGGUGGUGGGGAGCCCUCAGGAUGGGAUGACGAUCUCCUCAUUAUCUGAAGCUCAUAUUGUACAGUUUGACCUUCUCCGUCACCCUAAAUUCAGAUGUCUACCUAAACCAGUCCAUGAUGUGUAGGUGCCGGUGUUGGACUGGGGUGGAAAAAAUUAAAAAUCAGCAAGGAUCAGCGCUUCGAAAGCUAGUACUUCCAAAUAAACCUGUUGGACUGUAACCUGGUAUUGUGUGAUUUUUAACUUAAACCAGUCCAUGUCAGACUCUGCAUCCUUCCACCUGAGCAGCGUUAAAUUCCUUGAUUCCCUCUUGUUGCUAAUGAAACUACCAUGCUUUCAAUAUUUUG